AUCGAACGCUGGCGGCAUGCCUUACACAUGCAAGUCGAACGAGUGGCGGACGGGUGAGUAAUAUAUGGGAACGUGCCCAGUAGAGGGGGAUAACUACUCGAAAGAGUGGCUAAUACCGCAUACCAUUGGAGUUGCCGAUAUCGGCUUAGCGAGUUGGUGGGGGAAAGGCUAACAAAGGCAACGAUCCGUAGCUGGUUUGAGAGGACGACCAGCCACACUGGGACGGAGCAACGGCCCAGACUCCGACGGGAGGCAGCAGUGGGGAAUUUUGGACAAUGGGGGAAACCCUGAUGCAGCCCUCCGGCGUGUAUGAGAAGGCCUUCGGGUUGUAAAGUACUUUUGUCGAGGAGGCGGUAUUUGAAGAAUAAGCACCGGCUAACUACGUGCCAGCAGCCGCGGUAAUUC
rnacentral:rRNA from 1 species